rnacentral:sRNA from 1 species
GGGGGCCCACAGCCCCCAAAGCUGAGAGUGGUCGAAGCGGAGGUGGGGGACUCAUGGAAGAGAUGAACGCCAUGCUGGCCCGGAGAAGGAAAGCCACGCAGGUUGGGGAGAAAACCCCCAAGGAUGAAUCUGCCAAUGUAAGUCAGGGACUCUUCUUGCCCUACAUCUCUUAGGCCGUACCAUGAGGGUAGGGAUAGUGGGAUGUGUAGGGUUUGAACCUGAAAGAGGAAAUGGGCAGAGGUGUGUGUGGCAGGGGCUGGCUCAUGGCAGUUUUAUUUCCUACCAGCAGGAGGAGCCAGAGGCCAGAGUCCCGGCCCAGAGUGGUGAGUGAGUGCCCAGUCCAGCCACAGGAACUACAAAUCCCAGAAUACCCUGUUCUCACAUGUUAAGCACCCUUAUAGGAGAGUC